AAAAACUACUGUUGAUGUCAUUGCUGAGCUUUUGGGGUUCGAUGAUUAUAUUCCACCCUAUGCAUCUGCAAGGGGUGAAGACAUUCUCAAAGGUGUUAAUUUUGCAUCUGCUGCUGCUGGAAUUAGAGAAGAAACUGGUCAACAAUUGGGAGCAAGGAUUACGUUUGGUGGUCAGGUAAAUAAUUACAGGAACACAGUGCAA
rnacentral:misc_RNA from 1 species